ACAUGUCCGCAUGAUUAAAGGUAUUUUCCGGUAGACGAUGGGGAUGCGUUCCAUUAGAUAGUAGGCGGGGUAACGGCCCACCUAGUCUUCGAUGGAUAGGGGUUCUGAGAGGAAGGUCCCCCACAUUGGAACUGAGACACGGUCCAAACUCCUACGGGAGGCAGCAGUGAGGAAUAUUGGUCAAUGGGCGAGAGCCUGAACCAGCCAAGUAGCGUGAAGGAUGACUGCCCUAUGGGUUGUAAACUUCUUUUAUAAAGGAAUAAAGUCGGGUAUGGAUACCCGUUUGCAUGUACUUUAUGAAUAAGGAUCGGCUAACUCCGUGCCAGCAGCCGCGGUAAUACGGAGGAUCCGAGCGUUAUCCGGAUUUAUUGGGUUUAAAGGGAGCGUAGAUGGAUGUUUAAGUCAGUUGUGAAAGUUUGCGGCUCAACCGUAAAAUUGCAGUUGAUACUGGAUAUCUUGAGUGCAGUUGAGGCAGGCGGAAUUCGUGGUGUAGCGGUGAAAUGCUUAGAUAUCACGAAGAACUCCGAUUG
rnacentral:rRNA from 1 species